AUCUAUUGCUCUAUGAUUUUUUCUACAUGAACAAAUUGAAUUUGAAAGCAUAUAAGACUAGAUCUCCAUCUUAGGCAGUGAAACUAGUAAAGAAGCUACUGUAACUCUGAAGAAAGAAUCCAAAACGCUGAUUUCCUAUAGAAGUUCUGAAAAAGUGACAUUUAACUAUGUGCUUGGACUGGAUCUAAAAUUUCUAGAUCAUCAGAUGAGGAGCAGCUCGAUUUGCAACAUUACCUGCAAAGGGUUAAAAACCAGCCUCUCUCUGUUCCUUAUCUUUUUUUUUUUUGAGGAAGAUUAGCCCUGAGCUGACUGCUGCCAAUCCUCCUCUUUUUGCUGAGGAAGACUGGCCCUGAGCUAACAUCCGUGCCCAUCUUCCUCUACUUUAUAUGUGGGACGUCUACCACAGUUUGGCGUGCCAAGCGGUGCCAUGUCUGCACCCGGAAUCCGAACUGGCGAGCCCCCGGCCACCGAAGUGGAACGUGUGCACUUAACCACUGAGGCAAUGGCCGGCCCCUCUCUGUUUCAUAUUGGUUGCAUGCUUGACUGCUGAAGAAGAAACAUAUGAAGAGUUUGGCCCACAGCAUACACAGCAUUGUAUACACAGUAACUCCUGCCAGCCAUGGUCACAUCAAACUUGUGCAAAGGGAGAGACUCCAAAGAGGCAUUAGGUGAACAGUCGUCUGAUUUUUCACUGUCAGUUUCAGAAACUGAGCAAUUGAAAUACAAGUUCUAUCAUUUAGUGAGGUGCAAGUCUUCUGGGUACUUAGAAGGGUAUCUAUCUAGAGAAACUGUGUGAAACCAGAGAUCUCACUAUCCAGUUGUGAAAAGGUGAGAGUCCCAUAGAAUGUGCCAAGCAGGGGAUAACGUUCACUAAAGAUAAAAUCCCGUUGCAAAAUAGUGAUCCAGUCAUUCCCUGUCACCAAAAGGUUCCACUCUGAAAAGCUCAGUCCUAGGAAUAUGUCAGAGUCACCAUAGAUGCCAAACACGUUUGCUGAUGAAUCUCUUCCCUGAAGUGAAAUGGCCAGGCCAAUGAGAAAUACAUCCCCUUGGCGACAGGAAACUUUUCCAGAAAGGCCAUACAGAUGCCAUUCUUAUCAAACUCUCCUCUCAAGCCCCAGAGAAAGUGAACCCCCUUCUUGUCUUCUGAAACAACCAGCACAACCCAGAUCCAAUCAAAAUGCAGCAGCAACAAGACCGUGCCAAGGGCCAGUGCUGUGUUUCUGGGGGCCCUCUGAUAGAGAGAUGGAAACUGGCCUUUGCCACUCAGGAUGGGAUCAAAGAAGCCAUAGGAGAGCUCAGUGGGAAAAGAAAAGCAUGAUCCCAUGUGAGAUCAGAGGAAGCAACAUGAGGACGGAAUGAAGCACAACUAUCAGCCCAUCUAACUUCAAUUAACUGUUAAUGGGCAUCAGGCCAAGCUGCCUGGUUGCUGUUCAGCUCAAGAGUUCCCUGCUGAAAGGAAUCACAGAGAAGCUUUGCUCAUUCCACUUUUAUGCCUCACUCUCCCUCUGAAAGUUCUCUGCAAAACAAUUGCCAGAGCUCAGAAAUCCCCAAAACUUUAGCCAGUUAGGGCAUGCCCAUUUUCUCCUUCUCUCUCACUCUCUGCAAGAGAUUGAAUUAUUGACCCAAAUCCUUCACCCCUCACUGUACUAUUGGCCUUUGUUUUAUAACUUUGCAGUUACUCUUGCUAGACGUGGAAUGUACUUCCCUAUCCUUUGACCUUGUUUAUACUCAGCGUGUGACUUGAUUACACCAAUGGUGUGUUAGUGGACACGACGUAAGCAAAGUCUUGAAAUGUGCUUACUCAAUGGGGAUUGACUUUCUGCACUUUUCCCAUUAUCAUGAGAAAAAUUUUUUUCCUAGGACUUUACUGCCCCUUCAGCCUGGGCUUCAAAAGGUGAACACGUACAGCAGAUGUGAGAGCAACCACCAGCAAGGAACAAAACCUGCACUCAGCAGAACCCAGCCUAGAUCCGCUGACCAGCCAACCAACAUAGAGAUACAUUCAUGAGAAUAAAUAAUUGCUGCAAGUUACAGAGUUCUAUAUAAGUUUUUGGAUGUAGUAUUAUGAUGCUAAUAACUAAUGGAUAUAGAAAUUGGUAAGUAGAAGCAGGCUUCUGCUUAACAAAAGGAUAGCAUAUGCUAGUAGUUUGGGAACACUGUUAUGGGUGGUGAGAGAGCUGUUAGAGGGGGUUGGAAAAUGGCCAUAAAGCUAUUAUAGGGGACAGAAAAUGGUGCCCCAUGUUAUGUAGACAGAAAAAGGUGAUGAGACUGUCAUCUGUGAUAAUUAAGAAGAUAGGAAAUAUACCUAAUAAACUCGUAGACUUGAGCAAAAUAGUUUUCCAGGCAGAAUUUGAGCUCAGAUACAUAUAAGAAAGAGAUGAGCUCAGAAAAGAACUGCCUCAUUUGCAAAAGUAGAAUUUACUGCAAAUAAACGGAGUCUAGAAAUUGUACUGUUGGAAAAUCAAACCACUUCUCAUAGAAUCGAUAGAUGUAGCUUUUAUUAUAUAGCCUCAUAAGAAGACCAAAUUCAGUAAAACACAGCCUCAGAGUAAAGAACAAAUGGUUUUAUUGAUAUUACAUUCCUUUAAGACCUCUGAAGAAAUAAAGUGGCUAGUAGCUUCUAGUAAGUUUCAGGGUAUGAUCCCACAACAAUCUGGGGUAUCUCAAGUACCAUUGAUUAAGUGUAGAAAGCGUGGUGUGUCUUAAAAAGAACUCUGAGCAUGGCUUUUGACACAUGGAGUUGACUAGAACCAAAUAUACAGAACACUCACAGUUUCUGAGAGUUUGGAUUGGCAAAAGCACUGGCAGCCUGUAAUAAAAGACACUUAGACUCUUUGGGAUGUGAAAUAUUUGGGAUGACCUCUAGAGCACCAAUUUUCUAUAAGUAAGAAACAACUCAGAGCUGGCCCAGUGGUGUAGUGGUUAGGUUAGUGCCGUCCACUUCCACGGCCCAGGGUUUACCAGUUUGAAUGCUGGUCAUGGACCUACACAUGACUCAUCAAGCCGUGUUGUGGUGGCAUCCCAAAUAGAAGACCUAGAAGGACUUAUGACUAAGAUAUACAACUCUGUACUGGGGCUUUGGGAAGAAAAAAAAAUAAAAGCGGAAGAUUGGCAACAGAUGUUAGAUCAGGGCCAAACUUCCCCCCUGCCAAUAAGAAACAACUGAAAAAUCUGAGGGCAUACUUUGGAACACCCUCCUUACAAGUGGCAGGGAAAUGAAUUGUGUGCUAUAGAGGAAAAAAAUAUAAGGAUACACUUCUAGGAAUUUAAACUGUGGCCUAAUCCAGAAGCUCUCUCUAUUCCUAAGACCUGGCAACACGGACACAGAUUUCAUAAUUGCAUGAAUCAGGGACUGCCCUGUGCUUCCCAGUCUUCCUUUUAUGAAUGGAAGUGUUUACUGCAGAUCUUGUUGCUUUUCCAGCUUUGUAUGCUGGCUGGGUGGGAUGCAGUGAAGUUGUUUUGUUAAUUCAUAGGUCUUAUAUCAGGAGAAAGUGCAUCCAGAACUGACGUGAAUGCCGAGAUCUUGGUCUUUGAGCCUGAUGCUGUGAUUCCAUGAGACUUCUGCGGCUCUUUGGGGUGGAGUAAGCAUAGUUUUCAUGUAGAGGAUCAUGAAGAAUUGUGGUCCAAAAGCACAGACUGUGGUAGAUUGAAUUACCAGUCUCAAUUAUUAUCUCCUUCUAUACAUGCCCUUUGCCGUGUAACUUUUAGCUCCUCCUAUUAUAGGUGGAAAGUAUUGCCUUACGCUUUGACCUUAGGUCUGGUCCUAUAACCAGCUUUUGCCAAUAGGAUAUUAGUAAAAAUGAGUGAGCAAGGGUUUGAGACAUGCUUGUCCAAUUGUGCUUGCCCUGUUAAGCUUCCACCGUUGAGAUGAAAAGAGUUUCUGCUGGGUAGCUGCUUCUGUUCUAGUCUGGGCCUCAGAAUCGACAGAGGUGGAGAAAACUUGAGCUCAAGACAUAGCAUGGAGCUAAGCUCAGUCAAAUCCACAUCUUGAAGCAGAGCAAGCAAGCUGACCCAUGGCUCACACGUGCACGAAUGAGAACGAUUAAUUGUUUUAAGUCAUUCAUCUUUAGGAAGUUUUGUCCCACAGCAUUAAUAUUGUUGUGACAAUAGGUAGCCAAGACACCCACCCCUACUCAAAUUAAGGAUGGACACACACACACACACACACACACACACACACACUCCCUCUCACACAAACUCUGUGUUAUAUUUGUGUCUCUGUGAAAUGAACUCUCUUGUUUCUUCUUACUUUUCUUAGGCACCUAGGAGCAGCACCCAAGGAGGAAAGAUUCCAUUCCUCCCCACGCCAUCACACCUUACCUGUGGGUAAUUGUAGCGUUCCAGCAGUGUCCCCAUCUGAGCUGAAAUGGCCCAUGUGGUUCCUGCAAUAACCACUACAGAACUGCUCUCUCUCACACAGCCCAAGGCCACAUGAUUUCAUCAGAGCCCCUGGAGAGCACCCCCAAAGACCUUCCUCUUCUGAAGCAAAGGAUAAUUUCAACUGUAUUCAUGGGCAGGUCCAAGGAAUCCUUCCUGAGGAAAUGGCAGUCAGCUGAAUGUUACUCAGCCUUACAGAGGAAGCAAAUUAUGACACAUACUGCAACAUGGAUAAACCUUGAGGACAUUAUCCUAAGAGAAAUGGGCCAGUGACAAAAGGAUAAAUGCUGUAGGACCCCACUUAUAUGAGGUACCUAUUAUAGUCAAAUUCAUAGAGACAGAAAGUAGCAGGGUGGUGGCUAGAGGAUAGAGUGAGGGAGGGUGGGUGUGAGUUAGUGUUUAAUGGGUCCAGAGUUUCAGUUGGGUGAUUCUGAAGUUCUGAAGGUGGAAGGUUGUGAUGGUCUCACGACGAUGGGAAUGUAGUUAGUCCCUCAGAACUGCACACUUAAAAAUGGUUAAGAUAGUAAAAUUUAUGUUAUGAUUUUAUCACAAUUUAAAAAUAAUUAAUUUCAGAAAGAGCUUAUGUUUAAACACUGGACUGAACUGGAGAGCCACUUUCUUAUCUCACGUUAUGGAGUGAACUGUGUCCACCUCAAAUUCUGUGUUUAAGUCCUAACUCCCAACGUGACCGUAUUUGGAGAUAGGCCUUUAAGGCAGUCAUUAAGGUUAAAUGAGGUCAUAACGUAGGGUCAUAAUCUCAUAGGAUUGGUGUCCUUAUAAGAAGAGGAAGAGACACCAGAGCUCUCUCUCUCCCUGCAGGUGCACAGAGGAAAGGCCAUAUGAGCACACAGAGGGAAGGUGGCCAUCCACAAGCCAAGAGAAGAGGGCUCAAAAUGAAACCAAUCCACCUGGAGCCUGGAUCUGGGGCUUUUAGCGUAUAUAACUCUGAGAAAAUAAACUUGUGUUGGUUAGACCGCCUAGUGUUUCAUAUUUUGUUACAGCAUCCUGAGCUGACUAAUUCAUCUCAUAUGGGCACAUUCCUUGUUAGGAUUCUCUUACAGAGAAUAUCUUUCCAAGAUGAAAUUAAAGGGAAGUGAAUUCUCUCUUCAUUUCUUAAAAAUCACAAUGUGUAUCUGGGGAAUAAGAAAUUGUGGAAAAACAAGGUGAAAUCCCCCAGGGGAAUGAGUUCCAGCAAUUCUCAUGACACACAGUGUGGCCUAACUCCCUAGCUUGUUGUUUUAUGUGCCCGGAGAAUCUGAAGAACAAGGCCAUCUGGAUCUCUAGACUUGAGUGCUGCUUUCCUGGAAUCCCCCCUUGGAGCCCAGCCAUGUUGCAGGCUGACCCCAACCACCUGGAGGAGCCACCUGGGAGCACUGUGGUCCAUAGCCCCAACUGAGCUCCAGCCAGGUGAAUGUGCCUUCUUGGAUGUUCAGUCCAGUUGAGAGUUGUGGUGGGCACAUCCUGCACACCAUCUGAAUGGCAACUCUGUGAAAGGCUCCUAGCAAGACCUGCCCAACCAAACCCUUCCUAAGCUCCUGACCCACAAAACAAUUACCCAAAUAAAAUGGUUGUUGUAAGUUGCCAAGUUUGAGUUAAUUUGUCAGGUAGCAAAAGAUAACAGGAACAACCACCCAAAACAGAUGUGCAUUUGCCAGGGCCAAGGGAACUUACAGGGAACCACAUGUGAUAUUGGAGGAAGCAAAAAACCUUUAAGUUACAGUGAAUCACUGGAAGCAGCAGUGGGGUUGUGGGUCAGCUCAGAGGAAGGAGUGUUGAGGUCUAAGCAGGAGUGUCCUUUGGAGUCACAUGGUUCAGGGCAAAAGGGAAUGACAGCAUACUGAGAUUAUUAAGCACUAUUAUGUGUUGGGUCAGCUUGAUGCUAAGCCUUUGUGUUCCCAUCAUAUGCCUUUCAGUAGGGCACAUUUUGGCUGCAGGCUGUGGUAGACAGCUUUCAAAAACACCCCCAAUGAUUUUCUGCUCCUGGCAUUCACACUACUUUGUAGUCUCCUCCCAAAUAAGUCAAGUUGACCUGUGAAGCCACUAGGACAUUGUGGGCAUGAUGGUGUGUGAUUUCUGCUUCCUCCUAUUUGUCUCAGUUCUAAUUAUCUUCUGCAUCUUAUACAUAUUACUCUACGUGAAGUGAGUGAGAGAUGUUUCAAUUAUCUAUUGUGGCAUAAUAGACCACUCCAAAACAGUGAGUAAUAUUGAUCGUUUAUGCUGUUCAUGGAUCUGGGGUUGACUAGGCUCAGCUGGG
rnacentral:lncRNA from 1 species